GUGGCAUCGACUCACUCCCAACCCCUGUGACAUACCACUUGUUGCCUCGGCGGAUCAGCCCGCUCCCGGUAAAACGGGACGGCCCGCCAGAGGACCCCUAAACUCUGUUUCUAUAUGUAACUUCUGAGUAAAACCAUAAAUAAAUCAAAACUUUCAACAACGGAUCUCUUGGUUCUGGCAUCGAUGAAGAACGCAGCAAAAUGCGAUAAGUAAUGUGAAUUGCAGAAUUCAGUGAAUCAUCGAAUCUUUGAACGCACAUUGCGCCCGCCAGUAUUCUGGCGGGCAUGCCUGUUCGAGCGUCAUUUCAACCCUCAAGCCCUCGGGUUUGGUGUUGGGGAUCGGCGAGCCUUUCUGGCAAGCCGGCCCCGAAAUCUAGUGGCGGUCUCGCUGCAGCCUCCAUUGCGUAGUAGUAAAACCCUCGCAACUGGAACGCGGCGCGGCCAAGCCGUUAAACCCCCAACUUCUGAAUGUUGACCUCGGAUCAGGUAGGAAUACCCGCUGAACUUAAGCAUAUCAAA
rnacentral:rRNA from 1 species